ACACGUCUACAUUAGAUACCCGUGUAGUCCCAGCCGUAAACUAUGCGCGUUAGGUGUAUCGGUGACCACGAGUUACCGAGGUGCCGAAGGGAAACCGUGAAACGUGCCGCCUGGGAAGUACGGUCGCAAGGCUGAAACUUAAAGGAAUUGGCGGGGAGCACCACAACGGGUGGAGCCUGCGGUUUAAUUGGACUCAACGCCGGGAAGCUCACCGGAUAAGACAGCGGAAUGAUUGCCGGGCUGAAGACUCUGCAUGACUAGCUG
rnacentral:rRNA from 1 species